rnacentral:rRNA from 1 species
CCUACGGGUGGCUGCAGUGGGGAAUAUUGCACAAUGGGGGAAACCCUGAUGCAGCGACGCCGCGUGAGUGAAGAAGUAUUUCGGUAUGUAAAGCUCUAUCAGCAGGAACGAGACAAGACGGUACCUGACUAAGACGCCCCGGCUAACUACGUGCCAGCAGCCGCGGUAAUACGUAGGGGGCAAGCGUUAUCCGGAAUCACUGGGUGUAAAGGGAGCGUAGACGGCUGAGCAAGCAUGAAGUGAAAGGCGGGGGGCCAACCCCCGGACUGCUUUGGGAACUGUACGGCUGGAGUGCAGGAGAGGUAAGUGGAAUUCCUAGUGUAGCGGUGAAAUGCGUAGAUAUUAGGAGGAACACCAGUGGCGAAGGCGGCUGACUGGACUGUAACUGACGUUGAGGCUCGAAAGCGUGGGGAGCAAACAGGAUUAGAUACCCUUGGAGUC